CAAAGGUGAGCCAGUACAGGAUGGACCCGCGUCUGAUUAGCUAGUUGGUAAGGCAACGGCUUACCAAGGCGACGAUCAGUAGCCGACCUGAGAGGGUGAUCGGCCACAUUGGAACUGAGACACGGUCCAAACUCCUACGGGAGGCAGCAGUGGGGAAUAUUGCACAAUGGGCGAAAGCCUGAUGCAGCAACGCCGCGUGAGUGAUGAAGGCCUUCGGGUCGUAAAACUCUGUCCUCAAGGAAGAUAAUGACGGUACUUGAGGAGGAAGCCCCGGCUAACUACGUGCCAGCAGCCGCGGUAAUACGUAGGGGGCUAGCGUUAUCCGGAUUUACUGGGCGUAAAGGGUGCGUAGGCGGUCUUUCAAGUCAGGAGUGAAAGGCUACGGCUCAACCGUAGUAAGCUCUUGAAACUGGGAGACUUGAGUGCAGGAGAGGAGAGUGGAAUUCCUAGUGUAGCGGUGAAAUGCGUAGAUAUUAGGAGGAACACCAGUUGCGAAGGCGGCUCUCUGGACUGUAACUGACGCUGAGGCACGAAAGCGUGGGGAGCAAACAGGAUUAGAUACCCUGGUAGUCCACGCUGUAAACGAUGAGUACUAGGUGUCGGGGGUUACCCCCUUCG
rnacentral:rRNA from 1 species